UUCUGGCAAUAUCAAUGAAAUAAUGUUGUUUCUUUACUCUAUUUUGUCUAUAUCUUUUUGAUCGAUGACAAAAGGGGAGAAACAUAAUUGAUUUUGAUGUGUCUAUGUUUGUGAAUCAGAACCCAAACAUUUUUAAUGUUUUUGCUAACAAUUACUUCGAAGAAUAUUUUGUUAAUUGUUUUUCAGGGAAAGUCAAAGAACAUCAGAAGCU
rnacentral:lncRNA from 1 species